UACGUAGGGUGCGAGCGUUAAUCGGAAUUACUGGGCGUAAAGCGUGCGCAGGCGGUUUUGUAAGCCAGAUGUGAAAUCCCCGGGCUUAACCUGGGAAUGGCAUUUGGGACUGCAAGGCUCGAGUGCGGCAGAGGAGACUGGAAUUCCCGGUGUAGUGGUGGGAAUGCGUAGGAUAUCGGGAGGAACACCAGUGGGCGAAGGCGGUUGCCUGGGGGCUUUGCUGACGCUGAGGCGCGAAAGCGUGGGGAGCGAUCCGGAU
rnacentral:rRNA from 1 species